rnacentral:lncRNA from 1 species
GGACCGUAAGUAAUUUUCCUUCUUGAUCAUUAUCGAGCUCAGUCGAGAUAAUUACGGAAAAAGUGUUAUCGGGUCCAAGAAAGGCAUACUUGAGUUCCCUUGGUAAGGGUUUCAGCUCAAGUAUGGGUGCUUGUUUUCGAGAUUGCACAAUUUUUGUUCCUUGUGAGGGCAACUGCUCGAAUACCUCUAUUCUCGGUCUCCAUCCAUUGAUCAUCAUGACAUCCGAAUUAUCUAAAAUAGGUGGGACCACAUCAUCAGCAGUACCUUCAGAACACCAAUCUAUUAAACCAUUGUCGGCC